rnacentral:rRNA from 1 species
GACGAACGCUGGCGGCGUGCUUAACACAUGCAAGUCGAACGGUAAGGCCCUUCGGGGUACACGAGUGGCGAACGGGUGAGUAACACGUGGGUGAUCUGCCCUGCACUUCGGGAUAAGCCUGGGAAACUGGGUCUAAUACCGGAUAGGACUCCUGCCUGCAUGGGUGGGGGUGGAAAGCUUUUGUGGUGUGGGAUGGGCCCGCGGCCUAUCAGCUUGUUGGUGGGGUGAUGGCCUACCAAGGCGACGACGGGUAGCCGGCCUGAGAGGGUGACCGGCCACAAUGGGACUGAGAUGCGGCCCAGACUCCUACGGGAGGCAGCAGUGGGGAAUAUUGCACAAUGGGCGCAAGCCUGAGGCAGCGACGCCGCGUGAGGGAUGACGGCCUUCGGGUUGUAAACCUCUUUCAGCAGAGACGAAGCGCAAGUGACGGUAUGUGCAGAAGAAGGACCGGCCAACUACGUGCCAGCCGCCGCGGUAA